GAGCAAUCCAUGAGUAGAGUGGCAAACGGGUGAGUAACGCGUGGGUGACCUGCCUUCGAGCGGGGGAUAACGUUCCGAAAGGGACGCUAAUACCGCAUAACAUCCUGCCUUUUAAGAGGUGGAAAUCAAAGCCUGGGACCGCAAGGCCAGGCGCUGGAAGAGGGGCCCGCGUCUGAUUAGCUAGUUGGUGGGGUAAUGGCUCACCAAGGCUUCGAUCAGUAUCCGGCCUGAGAGGGCGGACGGACACACUGGGACUGAGACACGGCCCAGACUCCUACGGGAGGCAGCAGUGGGGAAUUGUUCGCAAUGGGCGCAAGCCUGACGACGCAACGCCGCGUGGAGGAUGAAGAUCUUCGGGUCGUAAACUCCUUUCGAUCGAGACGAACGGCCUCUGGGUGAACAAUCCAGAGGAGUGACGGUACCGAGAGAAGAAGCCCCGGCUAACUCCGUGCCAGCAGCCGCGGUAAUACGGGGGGGGCAAGCGUUGUUCGGAAUUACUGGGCGUAAAGGGCUCGUAGGUGGCCAACUAAGUCAGACGUGAAAUCCCUCGGCUUAACCGGGGAACUGCGUCUGAUACUGGAUGGCUUGAGUUUGGGAGAGGGACGCGGAAUUCCAGGUGUAGCGGUGAAAUGCGUAGAUAUCUGGAGGAACACCGGUGGCGAAAGCGGCGUCCUGGACCAACACUGACACUGAUGAGCGAAAGCCAGGGG
rnacentral:rRNA from 1 species